GACGAACGCUUGCGGCGUGCUUAACACAUGCAAGUCGAACGGAAAGGCCCUGCUUUUGUGGGGUGCUCGAGUGGCGAACGGGUGAGUAACACGUGGGUAACCUGCCCUUGACUUUGGGAUAACUUCAGGAAACUGGGGCUAAUACCGGAUAGGAGCUCCUGCUGCAUGGUGGGGGUUGGAAAGUUUCGGCGGUUGGGGAUGGACUCGCGGCUUAUCAGCUUGUUGGUGGGGUAGUGGCUUACCAAGGCUUUGACGGGUAGCCGGCCUGAGAGGGUGACCGGCCACAUUGGGACUGAGAUACGGCCCAGACUCCUACGGGAGGCAGCAGUGGGGAAUAUUGCACAAUGGGCGGAAGCCUGAUGCAGCAACGCCGCGUGCGGGAUGACGGCCUUCGGGUUGUAAACCGCUUUCGCCUGUGACGAAGCGUGAGUGACGGUAAUGGGUAAAGAAGCACCGGCUAACUACGUGCCAGCAGCCGCGGUGAUACGUAGGGUGCGAGCGUUGUCCGGAUUUAUUGGGCGUAAAGGGCUCGUAGGUGGUUGAUCGCGUCGGAAGUGUAAUCUUGGGGCUUAACCCUGAGCGUGCUUUCGAUACGGGUUGACUUGAGGAAGGUAGGGGAGAAUGGAAUUCCUGGUGGAGCGGUGGAAUGCGCAGAUAUCAGGAGGAACACCAGUGGCGAAGGCGGUUCUCUGGGCCUUUCCUGACGCUGAGGAGCGAAAGCGUGGGGAGCGAACAGGCUUAGAUACCCUGGUAGUCCACGCUGUAAACGGUGGGUACUAGGUGUGGGGUCCAUUCCACGGGUUCCGUGCCGUAGCUAACGCUUUAAGUACCCCGCCUGGGGAGUACGGCCGCAAGGCUAAAACUCAAAGGAAUUGACGGGGCCCCGCACAAGCGGCGGAGCAUGCGGAUUAAUUCGAUGCAACGCGUAGAACCUUACCUGGGUUUGACAUGGAUCGGGAGUGCUCAGAGAUGGGUGUGCCUCUUUUGGGGUCGGUUCACAGGUGGUGCAUGGCUGUCGUCAGCUCGUAUCGUGAGAUGUUGGGUUAAGUCCCGCAACGAGCGCAACCCUUGUUCACUGUUGCCAGCACGUUAUGGUGGGGACUCAGUGGAGACCGCCGGGGUCAACUCGGAGGAAGGUGGGGAUGACGUCAAGUCAUCAUGCCCCUUAUGUCCAGGGCUUCACGCAUGCUACAAUGGCUGGUACAGAGAGUGGCGAGCCUGUGAGGGUGAGCGAAUCUCGGAAAGCCGGUCUCAGUUCGGAUUGGGGUCUGCAACUCGACCUCAUGAAGUCGGAGUCGCUAGUAAUCGCAGAUCAGCAACGCUGCGGUGAAUACGUUCCCGGGGCU
rnacentral:rRNA from 1 species